rnacentral:rRNA from 1 species
UACGAAGGGUGCAAGCGUUACUCGGAAUUACUGGGCGUAAAGCGUGCGUAGGCGGUUCGUUAAGUCCGUUGUGAAAGCCCUGGGCUCAACCUGGGAAUGGCAGUGGAUACUGGCGAGCUAGAGUGUGAUAGAGGAAGGUGGAAUUCCCGGUGUAGCAGUGAAAUGCGUAGAGAUCGGGAGGAACACCAGUGGCGAAGGCGGCCUUCUGGACCAAUACUGACGCUCAUGCACGAAAGCGUGGGGAGCAAACAGG